rnacentral:rRNA from 1 species
GACGAACGCUGGCGGCGUGCUUAACACAUGCAAGUCGAACGAAGUGGCGAACGGGUGAGUAAUACGUGGGUAACCUGCCCUCCUUUUUGGGAUAAGCCUUGGAAACGGGGUCUAAUACCGAAUAAAGGGGGAUGGGCUCGCGGCCUAUCAGCUUGUUGGGGGGGUGAGGGCCUACCAAGGCGGUGACGGGUAGCCGGCCUGAGAGGGGGACGGGCCACAUGGGGCGUGAGAUACGGCCGAGAGUCCUACGAGAGGCAGCAGUGGGGGAUAGUGCACAAUGGGCGAAAGCCUGAUGCAUCGACGCCGCGUGGGGGAUGAAGGCUUUCGGGUUGUAAACCUCUUUCGAUACCGAACGGGUAGGUGGAGAAGAAGCGCCGGCUAACUACGUGCCAGCCGCCGCGGUAAUAC